CGGGCCGUAAGUGGGGAGUAGUCGGCUUGCGCCUUCCCGGUGCAAGAACCUGUGUCAACAUAAUCGGUCCGCAGACCGUGGUGCAGGUGGUUGAAAAACUUGACGAGACCAUGAUCGAGGUGCGGCCAUGAUGGGCCGGAGUCGCGCCUGGAUCAUUGGUUAAUCGUUUCCGGCCCGCGUACGAC
rnacentral:sRNA from 2 species